GCGGGGUUGGUGUAGAGGUGAUCACAUCUGCUUUAUAGGGAGAUGGUCGGGGGUUUGAGUCCCGCGCCCCGUA
rnacentral:tRNA from 1 species